AAAUAAAAAAUAAAAAAUAAAAAACUCAAAUUUGGUAGGAUUAAUAACAUCAAGCAACGAAUCAGUGAAAUACAUUGCAACACAAACUACAGAAGUUAAUAGAACUUUUCUUUUUCGAUUAUUAAUGUUGAGACAGAAACAUUCAAAAGUAGCAUAACCAUGUUGACAGGAAGCCAAAAAAGCAGUUUUUAAACCAAAAGUGAGCUCCAAAUAUUCUAGGAAUCCCAAAUCUAGAUGGAAAAAACAAGAAAAGAGUUAAAGCAAAAGGACACAAUUUGUAAAAAAUAACCUCAAGAUACCAACUUUAGCUUGUGUUAUUGCAGACCUGCUCCAAUGUUCAGCAGUUCUAUAUAUAAAAGGGACUACUUUUUAGGCCAUUAACACCUUAUUCAUGUAAAACCGUCCACUUCCAAUGGGCCAUCAAUUCAUCAACUCCACUACAAAGGCAUCACUCAAGACAUCCGCAGAUAAAAGAUGCAAGAACAUCCCUACUUUAUUAGAAAAGGAAACAAAAAGAAAGAGGUCCCAGACUCUAUGCAUCAUUGCCACCGAUGGAACUACAUUAUUGUUGUUAUGUUUGAUAAGAAAUAAUUUUAAUGAAAGAAAGAGAGGAAAUGCUGAGGGUGUGGUGCAAAUUUAGUGCACAAGUACCAUACAACCAUAAAAUGAUUGGCCACAGUCUCUUUUGAUCAAACUAGGAGAAACAGAAUAGUACUAAUUCAACCAUAAAAUGAUUGGCCACAGUCUCUUUUGAUCAAACUAGGAGAAACAGAAUAGUACUAAUU
rnacentral:misc_RNA from 1 species